rnacentral:tRNA from 1 species
GAUAACCUCAGCCGGAUAGUGCAUCCCGAUUUAUAAUCGGGAGGGUCAUUGGUUCGAAUCCAAUCCAGAUCA